GUAUUAUUCCUUUGGACUGCACAAUAGUUGGUUGAGUGACUUUGGGCCAUUAACCAAGAGAAUCUUAUUUUUAUUCCUACAAUAGGCAUUGAGACAGCUACAACUGCACAACUAGCAGAUCGGUGACUUCUUUCAGUAGGCAUGGUGAGUUUUACAGGUGCAAAAAAGAACAAGUGGUGGAUAAGUGACUGUAUAAAUCAAAAAGAGAGGUAUGGAAGGAGAUUUCCACUCCUGCACGGCUGGGAGAAUAGUUACUGG